rnacentral:lncRNA from 1 species
AAGAUAAGACAUCUGAACACUAUAGCAGUCCACUGGGACACACUAGUAUCCACGCAGCCCAUUAUAAAUUUUUGUCUUGCUUUUCUCUUGAAGUAUUUCCUGGAUGGCUUCCUUGUUUUCAGUGCUAAGGUCACACUUUGGAAGGUCCACAUCAAAGGUCACAUACAAGUAGGGAAGUAGGGUUACCAACUCUCA